rnacentral:rRNA from 1 species
AGCGAACGCUGGCGGCAGGCUUAACACAUGCAAGUCGAGCGGACCUUUCGGGGUCAGCGGCGGACGGGUGAGUAACGCGUGGGAACGUGCCUUCCGGUUCGGAAUAACCCUGGGAAACUAGGGCUAAUACCGGAUACGCCCUUAUGGGGAAAGGUUUACUGCCGGAAGAUCGGCCCGCGUCUGAUUAGCUAGUUGGUGGGGUAACGGCCUACCAAGGCGACGAUCAGUAGCUGGUCUGAGAGGAUGAUCAGCCACACUGGGACUGAAACACGGCCCAGACUCCUACGGGAGGCAGCAGUGGGGAAUAUUGGACAAUGGGCGCAAGCCUGAUCCAGCCAUGCCGCGUGAGUGAUGAAGGCCUUAGGGUUGUAAAGCUCUUUUAUCCGGGACGAUAAUGACGGUACCGGAGGAAUAAGCCCCGGCUAACUUCGUG